rnacentral:rRNA from 1 species
ACAAUGGAGAGUUUGAUCCUGGCUCAGGAUGAACGCUAGCUACAGGCUUAACACAUGCAAGUCGAGGGGAAACGACAUCGAAAGCUUGCUUUUGAUGGGCGUCGACCGGCGCACGGGUGAGUAACACGUAUCCAACCUGCCCACCACUUGGGGAUAACCUUGCGAAAGUAAGACUAAUACCCAAUGAUAUCUCUAGAAGACAUCUGAAAGAGAUUAAAGA